rnacentral:lncRNA from 1 species
CCACACUCCACACACAAACAAACAUUUCGAAGCAGUCCAUUUUCUUUUUCAUUUUUCACACACACUUUUCGUACAUAUAGCUAAAAUAAACAUCUUACAUAUACCAUAACUCAUAAUUCAUCCUUAAAUCACAAGUUUUCAUUUCAUCAAACAAUUUUCAGCAGCUUUUCUCAUGGAGAUUUUCUGGUUUUUCAAAAUUUUCUUGACUUUCACCUUCUUUUUCUUGAUGGGAGAUCCAUUUUUCUCUCAUUCAUCUUCUUUGCCCGAGGGAAUCGCGAAGUCUGCAGCUGUACACCGCAAUUACACCGCCAUAUCAGAGUUUCGAGUACUCAACAGAAAACCUUUGAAGGAUUGCCCCGACCUGAACCCGUAUUUGCAAAUAAACACAAGCUCCAUUGCCAAGCUUUCUGAUGAUGGAUAUAUAACAGUAAAUGUUACAGGAGUUUUACUUCCUUCGGCUACUGAUUGGGUCGCAAUGAUUUCCCCAUCUCAUGCCGUGUAAGAUGAUUAUUUUCGUAUCUAAAUAAUCUGAUUCUACGCUUGAAAAAACGGUAAAUUUAAUCUGAUCUUGCAGUGUAACAGCCUGUUUAGAAAACUCAAUUCUUUAUAAGGAGACAGGAGAUUUUAGUAGUCUUCCUCUUCUCUGCCAUUAUCCUGUUAAGGUAAGUGCAUUCUACUUUUGCAAAACGUUUGAAGGAUUAUAAUAAUCACAGUUUAAUUAGCCUUGAGAUUAUUUUAUAUUUUACUGCGCGCAGCCAUUCUUUUAAUUUAUUUCUUGACAUGCCUGGUUCAUAAUGAUCAGAAAUCUGUUUAAGUAUCAAAUAAUUCAGAAACUGAGAGUUUCUUGAAAAAUUUGUCCUUGAUCCGAUAUUUACUCGACAUAGUAACAACAACAAUAACAAACUAAUGUCGAUCGACUUGGGUUAUUGCUAAAAUUUGCAGGCUCAAUAUUUAAGAAGUGAUCCAGAUUACUUAAGUUGCAAGAAGAAGGAAUGCAAGAAAAAAGUGAAUGGAAAAUGCGUGUUGAGAACAUGUAGUGCGUCUUUGUCAUUUCAUGUCAUUAAUAUUCGAACUGAUAUCGAAUUUGUGCUGUUUGCUGGUGGAUUUGUUGCGCCUUGCAUUUUGAGAAGAUCACAGCCACUCAGAUUUGCCAAUCCAAACAAGCCUUUAUAUGGACAUAUAUCGAGUACCGAUUCAACAGCAAAAUCGGUAUGGAAUGCCAUCUCUGAUCUCCAAUAUCCAUGCAUGUGGUUGAGAAUUAAUUAUUUUAUUUUUAUUUACAACAUUUUAGAGGAAAUAGUUCGACGAUUUUUUAUUUAUUUAUUUUUGAUAAUAUGUUAUUAAAAAGCGGAAGUUAUGAAUUUCAUAAAAUGUGUGUGACUGAAAAUUAUUUGAACGAAAAAAGUUUAAGAAAAAGUUGUAUCAAACAUGCCUUUAUUUAACCCCUAUUUGGUAUAGCUAAAAAUUAAUUUUUUGUAAAUUUUAAUAAAAGUUGAUGAAAUGUAUUGAAAAGUUUGAAUCCCUUAAAUUAUUUAAUUAAAAUAAAAUUUUAAUUUUCACCAUAAUUUUUCAAUUCCUUACUCCUGUAAGAAAUGGCACAAGGCUUUGUUGACUUUGCUAUCAUUAAUUGCCUUGUCCGCCCGGCAAGAUUAUCGUUCACAAGCAUCUGCAAUUUCCUCUUUUUAAUAAAUUAAACAGCUGUGAUGGGAUGGCAACAUAUUUACCUUCUUUAUGGGAUUAAAAUCAAAAUUUAUUGAUAAAAAUUAAUAAAAUGUAUGAUUGAAAAGUUGUGAAUCCUAUAAAAUAUAUUAUUAAAUCUAAUUAUUAAUUAUAAUUAUAAUUAUAAUUUUAAAUCCUAAUGAAUGGGGACUUAAAGAUCUACCACCAACUUAACUGAGCAAUUACUGUUGUGCAGAACAAAUAUUGAAUAUUCUCACCUUUUACUGAAUUAAGUAAUUAAUUCAGUGUACUCGUGGGAUUAAAAAGUCAGCAGCAGUUGACUGCAAAAUUUUGAGGUGUGAAAGAAGAAAAAACGUAGCAGUGCUUUCAAACGUAGGGCCACAUAAUAUUAGUGCAUGGGAAGUGAUAAAUAAUUAUAUAUUUAAUUAGGUAUAUUUUUUAUGCUGAUGAGAUUAGACAUUAUAAAGAAUAGAUUUUGUAAUGUUUUUUCCCAAAGUUUGAUGCAUUAUAAUUUUGACGUGUCAAAAUUUUAGUGAGACGCAUUUUUGCCUUUAAAAAAAACAACGAAAGAGACAACAAGAUAGAGCAACAAAUGUAGACUCGUCGUGAACGCAUUAACACCUGUAUUUGAUAUGAAUAUAUUUGGUAAGAUUUGAUAUGAAUAUAUGGAGAAUAUAAUGGAUUUUUCAAAAUUGUGAUAAUUGCAGAUGAGAGUAACAUGGGUGAGUGGAAACCAACAGCCUCAACAUGUUCAAUUUGGAAAUGGGAAAUCAGUUACCUCACUUGUUUCUACUUUUUCACAAAGUGAUAUGUGCAACAGUAAGUUUCUUAUUCUCCUCGUGCUUUUGCUUAAAGUAGCUUAAAACCGUAUAUCUUUGAGACUUUUAUAAACAACCAAAUGACUUGAUUGAACAUCGUUUUGUCUACCCAUUUGAGAAGACUAAUGUUAUUCGGCACAACUAAUGUUAUAGUUUUUUCCAUGAAUUCUCGAAGGGAUUGGCAUCUUCAAUCUAGAUUAAUGUUUUAUUCUAAAAUAUUGUUUCCUUUUUAUCGAAAAUAAGCUUCCUACUUACAAAGUCCUGCCAAGGAUUUUGGGUGGCAUGACCCUGGCUACAUUCAUUCAGCUGUAAUGACAGGACUCAACCCUUCAACCAAGUACCUCUACAGAUAUGGAAGGUAAAUUUUUGUUUCCAAGUGAAAAAUAAGAAGAGGGAAAAAGAAAGCCGAAAACAUUCUGCAGUAGGAAAAUAUUUUUAAUUUCGACUGGUAAAAAAUCGAAAAACUUAUUGCAUAUACUCAGACUUACAUGUAUUAUACAUAAUUUGAACAUAUAAUACAGUGAUUCAAGUGGAUGGAGUAAUUGGACAACAUUCAAAACACCGCCUGCUGGUGGAUCAGAUGAGCUUAAAUUUCUUGCAUUUGGUGACAUGGGCAAGGCUUCUCGUGAUGCUUCUACUGAACACUAUAUACAGGUAAUAUAUAAGUGUGGAUAUGUCUGUUACAGAAAAUAUGAAUACAAUGCAAUUAUGGCUAAAAAGGGCCUUAUUUUUGGGGAUAAAUAUAGCCAGGAUCACUAUCAGUCAUCGAAGCUAUGGCCGACGAACUAUCCUCCAGUGGAGUCGACGCAAUAUAUCAUAUUGGAGACAUAAGCUAUGCCACAGGUUUUCUAGUAGAAUGGGACUUUUUCCUUCACCAAAUUAAUCCAGUGGCCUCUAAAGUUUCUUACAUGACUGCAAUUGGGAAUCAUGAGAGGUAUGCUGUUCGGUUCAAAAUUGUGUAACUGUCACAUAUUUAAUGAGAAAAUGGUUCGACGCUGUUUAAGCUUUUAGACAAACUGAUAAAAAUUCGAGGUAUUAUCUUUCAGGGAUUUUGGAGACUCCGGAUCGGUUUAUUUUACUCCGGACUCUGGUGGUGAGUGUGGGGUACCUUAUGAGACAUAUUUUCCAAUGCCAGCAGUUGCAAAGGAUAAGCCAUGGUAUUCUAUAGAACAAGGGAGUGUUCACUUUACAGUAAUUUCAACAGAGCAUAAUUGGACACAAAACUCAGAACAGGUACAUAAAUAACCUUCUUUUACACUGUUUUGUGCCUCGUUUAGCAUAGUAGGUAAUGUAAUACUAGAAAGUAGAGUAAUGUCUAAUAAGUUUAUGUUGUCUAAUACCAGGUGUAUGUUUGAUAUUGAUUUUUCUCCUCAAAACAUUCAUUUUUUGACCAUUAUUUCACUAUUUCAGCCGUCAUUUUUGACUUCUUCUCUCACAAAUUAGACACAUUUUUCUCUCUAACAGUCAAAAAAUCAAUUUUCAAAAUCACUAUCGAACAAGCCCCAGCAACAAAACUUAGCCUUACAUCUUUUCCGUCUCAUGGAACAAAAUAAUAAUUGUUGCACUUAACUUCAUUGUGUCCUUGCACAGUAUGAAUGGAUGAAGAAGGACAUGGCUUCAGUUGAUCGAUCAAGAACUCCAUGGUUAAUAUUCACGGGGUAAUUUUAUAUUUUCAAGGCCACGGCCAAUAUCUUUUUAUUGCAUUUCGAUUAGCCAACUUUUAACUAAAACUCUGCUUGUCUUCUUUCAUGAGUAGGCUAGAUGUUUAAUCAACAAUAAACUAAAUGUUUUGCGUUUUUCCUAAACAAAUUUGGAUCAGUAACAAAUUAUCAUGAAUGAAAAUUCUUGUCAGUGACCACCGACAGUAGGUCGAUAUGUGAUUUAGAUGGAAUUAUCGACAAUGAUGUUGUUGGUGAUUGUUAAUAUAUUGUCAUUAGUGAUUGUCAAUGGACCGCUUAAUUCUUGAGUCGACUCUGAUUUAAAAGAUGCACGAAUAUGUUUUUUUUACUGCUCCGUUCAUUUCAUUGCCACAUUACUUAAAUCCAAUGCCAGUAACAGAAACAUGUACAAAUAAUCAAUUCAUUAAUUUUACAUGUCAAUAAAAUUAAUGAAUAUUGCGAAUUGACUACAGGCACAGGCCCAUGUAUUCCUCCAACGACGGAAACAUUAUUUUGCCAAGCGUCGACGACAAAUUCGUCCAAGCCGUGGAGCCAUUGCUACUAGCCAAUAAGGUAAAAGUUUCCAUCGAGAACACAAAUUUUAGUAAGUACUGGCUUCGUGAUUAAUUGUACUCACUAACAUAUAAAUGGAUCUACAGGUUGAUCUUGUUCUAUUUGGACACGUUCACAACUACGAAAGAACAUGUGCCGUUUAUAAGCAACAAUGCAAGGCAAUGCCAAAGAAAGAAAGAAAUGGAAUUGAUACAUAUGAUAAUACAAAGUAUAGUGCACCAGUUCAUGCUGUUAUUGGAAUGGCUGGCUUUAGCUUGGAUAAGUUCUCCAACAAGGUAAGUAGUUACAACCUCAAGCCCUCAUAGAGACUCGUCCCCCCACUCUCAUCGUCGUCUCAAGUAUCAAACUUGGAUCCCCUGUCAAUUUUUCUUGACCUUUGGGUUUCAAAUUCAAUUUUGUAGCUUGAGAUUUCUCUAUACGAUUUAUUAAAGAUGAUCUUAAAAGAAAUCCAUGUCUUGGGACACAAAUUCUACCGGACGUUAACUCAAAAAGAAAAAAAUGUCAAGAAAGAUAUACAAAUACUCGAGCCUACAAUGAGAAUCACAGUUGCAAUUUUUCAUGGAAAAUAGUAACACAUACUAGAAUCAUGGGGACGUUUUUUUGUUCGUGAUGGACAGGGGAAGCCAUGGAGUUUGGUUAGGAUUUCCGAGUUUGGAUACACAAGAGUGCAUGCAACAAAGAAAGAGCUAAAAGUUGAGGUCAGUUCAUGAAUCUUUAUCUGCUUUAAUUUUAAAAUUGGGUGAUGCAAUAAGAACAUCAAAUUGAGUUAAUUUCUUGACAUGUUUAUAUCAUUUUGCAGUAUGUAAAUUCAAAUACAAGAAACGUUGAAGAUAGCUUCCGAAUCAUCAAAAGUUGAAAAAUGAAAAAUAUAUAGGCAGGGAGAUUUGCUUUAUAAAUAUAUUGUAAUGAAAGAACAUUGGAAAUCUUUUAAGAGCACUUGUAUUUUCUAAAUAGCUUCUCUGAUUUUUAUUUUUGAAUCUAAACUGUCUUGGUCAGUUGAUUUCAUCCCAGUUUUUGAAGAACUGUUUUUAGACUAUGACCAAACCAGUUCCCAAGCUGACAUUUUUUC